UACGUAGGCAGCAAGCGUUGUUCGGAAUUACUGGGCGUAAAGAGUGUGUAGGCGGUGCUCUAAGUUCGGUGUGAAAUCUCCCGGCUCAACUGGGAGGGUGCGCCGAAAACUGGAGUGCUGGAGCGCGGGAGAGGAAAGCGGAAUUCCUGGUGUAGCGGUGAAAUGCGUAGAUAUCAGGAGGAACACCGGCGGUGUAGACGGCUUUCUGGACCGUAGCUGACGCUGGAGAACACGAAAGCGUGGGUAGCAAACAGG
rnacentral:rRNA from 1 species